rnacentral:rRNA from 1 species
CGGCAGGCCUUACACAUGCAAGUCGAGCGAGAAAUUUUCUUCGGAAAAGAGUAAAGCGGCGGACGGGUGAGUAACGCGUAGGAAUCUACCUAGUAGUGGGGGACAACAUGUGGAAACGCAUGCUAAUACCGCAUACGCCCUAUGGGGGAAAGCAGGGGAUCUUCGGACCUUGUGCUAUUAGAUGAGCCUGCGUCGGAUUAGUUUGUUGGUAGGGUAAUGGCCUACCAAGACUACGAUCCGUAGCUGGUCUGAGAGGAUGAUCAGCCACACUGGGACUGAGACACGGCCCAGACUCCUACGGGAGGCAGCAGUGGGGAAUAUUGGACAAUGGGCGCAAGCCUGAUCCAGCCAUGCCGCGUGUGUGAAGAAGGCUCUAGGGUUGUAAAGCACUUUCAGUAGGGAGGAAAAGUUAGUAGUUAAUAACUGCUAGCCCUGACGUUACCUACAGAAGAAGCACCGG